UACGGAGGAGGCAAGCGUUAUCCGGAAUUAUUGGGCGUAAAGCGUCCGUAGGUGGUUUAGUAAGUCUGCUGUUAAAGCGCGGGGCUUAACUCCGUAUCGGCAGUGGAAACUACUAGACUAGAGUGUGGUAGGGGUAGAGGGAAUUCCCAGUGUAGCGGUGAAAUGCGUAGAUAUUGGGAAGAACACCGGUGGCGAAGGCGGUUCUCUGGGCCUUACCUGACGCUGAGGAGCGAAAGCGUGGGGAGCGAACAGG
rnacentral:rRNA from 1 species